CUAAGUUUUAAUAUCAUGUUUCACUGGAAAUUGAAUAAAUAGUUGGCUAAAUCAAGUGCUACAAGCUUAUAAAUGCAAAGGAAAUCUCACAAUGACGAGUGCAUUAAAGCUUGGAUACAUUGUGAUGGCUACUAGCAUGAAAGCGUAGACUACCAUAGUAAAAACCGUCUCAGACAAGGAGCUUCGUAUAAUUAUGGUAGAACUUCACUUACAG